GACGAACGCUGGCGGCGUGCCUAAUACAUGCAAGUUGAGCGCUGAAGGUUGGUACUUGUACCAACUGGAUGAGCAGCGAACGGGUGAGUAACGCGUGGGGAAUCUGCCUUUGAGCGGGGGACAACAUUUGGAAACGAAUGCUAAUACCGCAUAAAAACUUUAAACACAAGUUUUAAGUUUGAAAGAUGCAAUUGCAUCACUCAAAGAUGAUCCCGCGUUGUAUUAGCUAGUUGGUGAGGUAAAGGCUCACCAAGGCGAUGAUACAUAGCCGACCUGAGAGGGUGAUCGGCCACAUUGGGACUGAGACGCGGCCCAAACUCCUACGGGAGGCAGCAGUAGGGAAUCUUCGGCAAUAGACGAAAGUCUGACCGAGCAACGCCGCGUGAGUGAAGAAGGUUUUCGGAUCGUAAAACUCUGUUGGUAGAGAAGAACGUUGGUGAGAGUGGAAAGCUCAUCAAGUGACGGUAACUACCCAGAAAGGGACGGCUAACUACGUG
rnacentral:rRNA from 1 species